rnacentral:rRNA from 1 species
GNGGGGAUCUUGGCAAUGGGGGCAACCCUGCUCCAGCCAUGCCGCGUGGGUGAAGAAGGCCUUAGGGUUGUAAAGCCCUUUCGGCGGGGAAGAUGAUGACGGUACCCGCAGAAGAAGCCCCGGCUAACUCCGUGCCAGCAGCCGCGGUAAUACGGAGGGGGCUAGCGUUGUUCGGAAUCACUGGGCNGUAAAGGGCGCUGUAGGCNGGACCACCAAGUCAGGGGUGAAGCCCUGGGCUCAACCUAGGAAGUGCCCUUGAAACUGAUGGUCUUGAGUCCGGGAGAGGAGAGCGGAAUUCCCAGUGUAGAGGUGAAAUUCGUAGAUAUUGGGAAGAACACCGGUGGCGAAGGCGGCUCUCUGGACCGGCACUGACGCUGAGGCGCGAAAGCGUGGGGAGCAAACAGGAUUAGAUACCCUGGNAGNCCACGCCGNANACGAUGUGCGCUAGCCGNUGNGCAACCUA